rnacentral:rRNA from 1 species
UAACACGUAGGGACCGAGCGUUGUCCGGAUUUAUUGGGCGUAAAGAGCUCGUAGGCGGUUCUGUAAGUCGGAUGUGAAAACUCAGGGCUCAACCCUGAGACGCCAUCUGAUACUGCAGUGACUAGAGUCCGGUAGAGGAAGAUGGAAUUCCUGGUGUAGCGGUGGAAUGCGCAGAUAUCAGGAGGAACACCAACGGCGAAGGCAGUCUUCUGGGCCGGUACUGACGCUGAGGAGCGAAAGCAUGGGGAGCAAACAGGAUUAGAUACCCUGGUAGUCCAUGCCGUAAACGUUGGGCACUAGGUGUGGGGUCUUCUAACGGAUUCCGUGCCGUAGCUGACGCAUUAAGUGCCCCGCCUGGGGAGUACGGCCGCAAGGCUA